rnacentral:rRNA from 1 species
CGGAUUGCAGGCUGNAACCCGCCUGCAUGAAGCCGGAAUCGCUAGUAAUCGCGGAUCAGAAUGCCGCGGUGAAUACGUUCCCGGGUCUUGUACACACCGCCCGUCACACCAUGGGAGCCGGGAAUGCCCGAAGUCAGUGGCCCAACCGAAAGGGGGAGCUGCCGAAGGCAGGCCUGGUGACUGGGGUGAAGUCGUAACAAGGUACC